GAACCCUUGGCACAGUGGUAGCGCGUGAGAUUCCAGUUGGUGGAGCAAUCCACCCAAGGGAAGUCCUCAAGGUCGUCCGUUCGAUCCGGGCAGGGUUCA
rnacentral:tRNA from 1 species